AACGGCCGCGGUAUCCUAACCGUGCGAAGGUAGCGUAAUCACUUGUUCUUUAAAUGAGGACUAGUAUGAAUGGCACCACGAGGGUUAAACUGUCUCCUUUUUUUAAUCAGUGAAACUAAUCUCCCCGUGAAGAAGCGGGGAUUCUUUUAUAAGACGAGAAGACCCUAUGGAGCUUUAAACAAGUUAACACCUGCUACUAAUCUUCACUUUCCUGAACCACCACAUUAAGUAUAGCACCUCUGAUUAACAGUUUUCGAUUGGGGUGAUCAUGGAGCAAAAAUUAACCUCCACGACGAAAAGGAACACCUCCUUGAGCCAAAAGCUACAACUUUAAGCACUAAAAAACUAACGCACUUUGACCCAAUUCUUUGAGCAACGAACCAAGUUACCCUAGGGAUAACAGCGCAAUCCACUUUAAGAGCUCCUAUCGACAAGUGGGUUUACGACCUCGAUGUUGGAUCAGGGUAUCCCAGUGGUG
rnacentral:rRNA from 1 species